UGGGGAAUAUUGGACAAUGGGCGAAAGCCUGAUCCAGCUACGCCGCGUGUGUGACGAAGGCCUUAGGGUUGUAAAGCACUGUUGUGAGGGAAGAAGAUCUUCGGAUUUGACGGUACCUCAUGUAGCAAGCACCGGCUAACUCCGUGCCAGCAGCCGCGGUAAUACGGAGGGUGCAAGCGUUGCUCGGAAUUACUGGGCGUAAAGGGUGUGCAGGCGGUUUAUUAAGUCAGAUGUGAAAGCCCAGGGCUCAACCCUGGAACUGCAUCUGAAACUGGUAAACUUGAGGCAGAGAGAGGGAAGUGGAAUUCCUGGUGUAGAGGUGAAAUUCGUUGAUAUCAGGAGGAACACCAGCGGCGAAGGCGGCUUCCUGGCUCUGUUCUGACGCUGAGACACGAAAGCGUGGGGAGCAAACAGG
rnacentral:rRNA from 1 species